rnacentral:rRNA from 1 species
AUUGAACGCUGGCGGCAUGCUUUACACAUGCAAGUCGGACGAGUGGCGGACGGGUGAGUAAUAUAUCGGAACGUACCGGGUAAUGGGGGAUAACUAAUCGAAAGAUUAGCUAAUACCGCAUAUUAUCGGAUCGGCCGAGAUGUGAUUAGCUAGUGGGUGGGGUAAAGGCCUACCAAGGCGACGAUCCGUAGCGGGUCUGAGAGGAUGAUCCGCCACACUGGGACUGAGACACGGCCCAGACUCCUACGGGAGGCAGCAGUGGGGAAUAUUGGACAAUGGGCGCAAGCCUGAUCCAGCCAUGCCGCGUGUAUGAAGAAGGCCUUCGGAUUGUAAAGGACUUUGAUCAAGGAAGCGGUACCUGAAGAAGAAGCACCGGCUAACUACGUGCCAGCAGCCGCGGUAAUUC